CUGGGUGUAAGGGUGCGUAGGCGGGUUAUCAAGUUGGAUGUGAAAUCUCCGUGCUUAACGCGGAGGCUGCAUUCAAAACUGGUAAUCUUGAGUGAGGUAGAGGCAGGCGGAAUUCCCGGUGUAGCGGUGAAAUGCGUAGAGAUCGGGAGGAACACCAGUGGCGAAGGCGGCCUGCUGGGCCUUAACUGACGCUGAUGCACGAAAGCAUGGGUAGCAAACAGGAUUAGAUACCCUGGUAGUCCAUGCCGUAAACGAUGAUUGCUAGGUGUGGGUGGACUGACCCCAUCCGUGCCGGAGUUAACACAAUAAGCAAUCCACCUGGGGAGUACGGCCGCAAGGUUGAAACUCAAAGGAAUUGACGGGGGCCCGCACAAGCAGUGGAGUAUGUGGUUUAAUUCGAAGCAACGCGAAGAACCUUACCAGGUCUUGACAUCCACCGAAUCCGGAAGAGAUUCCGGAGUGCCCUUCGGGGAACGGUGAGACAGGUGGUGCAUGGUUGUCGUCAGCUCGUGUCGUGAGAUGUUGGGUUAAGUCCCGCAACGAGCGCAACCCUCGUUAAUAGUUGCUACGCAAGAGCACUCUAUUAAGACUGCCGUUGAUAAAACGGAGGAAGGUGGGGAUGACGUCAAA
rnacentral:rRNA from 1 species